rnacentral:ncRNA from 1 species
UUUUAAACGUUGAUGAGGAGUAAUAAUUUCGAGACUUCACUCAGAGAGCCGGCGGUUGCUGUAAGCCGGUUGAUAGACCGAAACGAACUUACCUCGGAGUCAUGAUAUGAAUAUGGAAAAGUCAAAGACGCUGCAAUUUAGGUCGUCAGAUUUCUAUAUAUAAAGUAUCAUCGUCUUGCCCGCGUUAAGGGUUCAAAGUGAGUGGAAGACAAAGCAUGUAUUCCGCUAACUAGGGUGGUACCACGGGAAUCUAACCUCUCGUCCCUAGC